UACGUAGGGGGCAAGCGUUGUCCGGAAUUAUUGGGCGUAAAGAGCGUGUAGGCGGCCAGAUAAGUCCGCUGUGAAAUCUCGAGGCUCAACUUCGAGCUGUCGGUGGAAACUAUCUGGCUAGAGUCCGGAAGAGGAGAAUGGAAUUCCUGGUGUAGUGCGGAGAAUGACGCAGAGUAAUCAGGCAAGAACGACCCGUGGCGUAAGGCGGGUUCUCUGGGACGGUACUGACGACUGGAGCAC
rnacentral:rRNA from 1 species